CCUACGGGAGGCAGCAGUAGGGAAUUUUCGUCAAUGGGCGCAAGCCUGAACGAGCAAUGCCGCGUGAACGAGGAAGGUCUUCGGAUCGUAAAGUUCUGUUGAAGGGGAAAAAGAGCGGAGAGAGGAAAUGCUUUCUGAAUGAUAUUACCCUUCGAGGAAGUCACGGCUAACUACGUGCCAGCAGCCGCGGUAAUACGUAGGUGGCGAGCGUUAUCCGGAAUGAUUGGGCGGAAAGGGUGCGUAGGCGGCCUGCUAAGUCUGGAGUGAAAGGUACCGGCUCAACCGGUACAGGCUCUGGAAACUGGCGGGCUAGAGGGCAGGAGAGGGCGGUGGAACUCCAUGUGUAGCGGUAAAAUGCGUAGAUAUAUGGAAGGACACCAGUGGCGAAGGCGGCCGCCUGGCCUGUUAACUGACGCUGAGGCACGAAAGCGUGGGGAGCAAAUAGGAUUAGAUACCCCAGUAGUC
rnacentral:rRNA from 1 species